rnacentral:other from 2 species
UUUCCCCUGCCUUGUUGGUGUUUGGGCGGAAAAUUUCGAGCCAACAUUGACAUUGAGGGUGACCUAAGCUGUUUCCGGCAAGGAAGUCGGCCUGGCCGAAUUCCUUAAACGAGACGCAGGUAUCGCCCACCUAACCCUGUUAGGUUCGAUGUCACCGCCCGAGGACGGCAAUGGCGGGGGAUUU